GGAGGGAACGGAAAGGCGGAAAUCUCAAAUCUCUCGCUCUCUCUCUCUCUCUCUUUCUGUCACGCGCACACACACACACGACUCAAUCUAUCGUUUCGGAAGGAGUUCGAGGUUCCGCCCCUCUUUUAGAGAUUAGGGUUCUUCGUCGGCGAAUAAUUUACCACGCAGAGGAUUGUGUACAGUUGUUCUUCUUUUACGGAGUACACGAUACUUUUAAGUACAUCGUGAUCAUUCGAGCCAAAAGAUGAUGUAUUCUUCGAUAUUAAGAAUGCAAAAGCAAGAUGUUGAUAGAAGCUAGCGACCUAAACGUUUGGUAGCUUUUGAUGGUUCGGUGUCGUAUGAUCAUUCAAGCAGGAUGUUGUUGGAUGCUGGAUGAGGUGGAGGCCAAUGUCAAACAGCGAGGAUCUGUUUGGUUUUUUCGUUUCCUUCACUUCUUGCAACUACAAAAAAUUACCUGCUGGUGGAGAAACAAGUUUGCAUAAAGGUGUUGGGGACAUCAGGAAUUCUUUGAAAGAAGUCUGCGGUUGAUGCGGUCCAUGGAGUUGGUUCACCAGCCUAUUUUAUCGCCACAAGUUUGAGGUAAGAAAUUGUGUUUGUUGUGAUUGUAGGUAGCAGGCAUUAAGCUUGGCUCAUCAUUGCCAUGAUCUUUGAGAAGUAAUAUGGAGGAGAAAUGGUUGUUGCUUGCUCCCGUUGAUCAAGUUCUACAGAAAUCGUCUUCUAAAUCAAAUCAUACAAGAAGAGAAAGAGUGAGUAUUUUCUAUAGGAGGCUAUCGACCGGUUCAUGCGUAUUUGGGGUUGAUGUAGCAGCUGGUGUUUGCUGUCGAGGCGAAAAUGUUGAUCAGGAUUGAUAGAAUUCGGAGUACUUGCUUGGGCGUAGCUGAUAGCUGGCUGUUGAUGGAUACCUGAAGUACCACAAUCAGUUCCUCUGUUGUCAGGACCUAAUCCGCCUUGAUUACUGCAAUGAUAUGCAUAAAGC